AUGGUGGAAGACAUAAUACAUCAACAUCGAUCCUUGUGCAAGCUCCUAAAAGUGGGAAAUCGUGUUCAUGUUGCGUGUAUGCAACCAAUGCUUGCGAGUAGCACUUCAUUUGGAUCAACCAAUGUUCUCGGAACCGAACCGAAAAUUGAAUCAGUUCAACUUGACUUGGUUCCUUUCUAUGGGAUUAUGAACCAGCUAUCAGAGUCUCUUUGGUAA